CUGGAGAAGAUGUUGAAUAGCGGGCAUCGGCCUAGCACGAGUGUUUUCCAUUUAGUACUCUCUGGGCUUCUAGAGAAAGAAAGGUAUGCUAACGAAGCUAGUAAUUUGGUUGCUGUCAUGUUAGAGAGGAAAAUUCGUCAAAAUAUCGAUCUUUCUACUAAGGUUGUGUCUGGUUUGUUUAGUAACGGUCUGAAUGAGAGAGCAUUCAAGAUUAUUAGGUCACUUUAUGACAACGGAUAUUAUGUGAAGAUGGACAAGUUGGUUGAAAAUCUGUGCAUAGAAAAGAAAUUCUUGGAAGCGCGGGAACUUUUGCUGUUUAGUUUGGAUGCUCGUCAGAAAAUUGAUUCGGUAGUUUUCGCUUCAGUGCUUAAUGGGCUUUGUCGGGCUGGAAGAGCUUCCGAAGCAUUCACGCUUUUCUAUGGAAUGAUUGACAAGGGAAGUUUGACUGUACCUUCUGAUUGUUUAGUUGCUCUGCGUGUUGCACUUCAGGAAGCAGGAAGACUUAAAGAGGCUGAUUUCGUCGGCAAACAAAUGAGACGUGCAAUUACUUGAAGUGGGAAUUGCAUGGUUAUUCUCAAUUUUCUCCCCCGUGGAGGUGUCAUGGUUUAAGAAGUUAAGUGUUGGGAGAUGGUUAUAAAAGAAGAUGCAGAUGAACAUGUUUGGAAUGAGAUGAGCUUUUCGAGAUCGACCGUGAAAACAACCAUAUAAUUUGGUAUAUUACCGGGAAGCUAAUUAUUUGAUGAUUUUGCUAAUUUUUCCAGUGUAAAUGUUGCACAUCGAUCCCCAAUUAUUUUUUGUGUGGACAUAAAGCCUCUCGCUUUCCAGCUCGCAGGAGACUUGAUUUUAACCAGAGGGUUUACUCUUGCGUAAUUAUCCUCUUCCGCAACCAGCAUGGUCAUUGGGUCAGAGGUUCUGGACAUGAUUGGCACUUCCAUGAGCGGCAUACAGAUCAAUGGUUAGAGUGACUGCAGGCAGAAUAAAUGACAGGGAGCUUUUCCGUAGGAAACAAGGAUGGAGCUUUCCCUCAGAGGUUUACCAAACUGCAAACUUUAUCUAAGACAUUGAGACAGAUUAAGAUCCACUUUACUCUAGCGCAUAUCUGUCCAUUAGACCUUGCCACCGUGGUUUCAUCAAAGUUAAGAAGACGACCAACUCUUGUGACCACUUGAAGGUGUACAUGCUUCUUCCAGUACUCAAAAGGCGGAUUAUAGAGGUUAGCCCAAACAGGAGCAGUUGAAAUAACUUGAUCUGAUGAGUUGAAGUUUGGUUUCCUAGCAAAUGAAAUUAAUAGGUAGCUCUUUUACCGUCCAAGGUCCACCAGAAAGGACAACAUGUAUGCCCUCCUUAAGCGACCCGCUUUUCAAGAAGAGGUUCAGUAAGGAAUACAAGAUCUUCUUAGCGCUUGUUUAGCUGCUUUCUGGAUCAGCUCCUCCACUCUAAGUUGUUGUUAAGCAUUUCACAAACAAAUAACUUAGUGCUCAAAAUGAGCUUCUAGACUUCAAAAGGAGAAGGUCCAAUUUGAAAUUUCUGACUGCUGGAGUAAGAAGUUUGCUUUGGGCAUUUAAAUGAAGUAUUUAUGAGUGUUUCUUUAAUAUCUCUACUCAAAUAGAACAUCAGCAGCAAAUGCAGCAGCGCCGAGUAGUUACCAAUUUGCACAAAACCACAUCUUGUUACAUCACUGACGGCUACUUUUUAGGAUUCAUAUUCCUGUUUAAGUAAUAUGUAUAUCACUUGAUAGACGUGUUUAACACUGAAGUUUGUAUAUUGUAGGCCUGAGAUGAACACCGGUCUGAUAUCAGGUAAGGAGAUACCGUUGACAAUCUCUUUGAGAGUGUAGAAUGCAAGAGAAGCAACAAUUACAUAAGCCAACAUAUGGAGUAAGAGUGUUUUUUAUUUCUUCUGGAAGUUUAAUGCGAGGUUGUCAACUCUCUCUUCCUUGAAACGGGGAAUUAAACUAUUCAUUUUAACAGGAAAGCGAACUCAGUGAUGCAAGGAGUACUUUUUCUUUUUAAUAAAAGUGUGCAGGUUGACUAGUGGAGUUCUUCUGUGAUCAUCUCAUAAAGAGAUGCAACAAUUCUUAAAGAGAUUAGGUAGCUGCUUGUUCUGAAAAUCGAUCUAAUUGUGUAGUUUAUCUUUAGAUUGGUACAGUCUGAAUACUUAAUAGAGAUGGUUACAUUGUAAAGAAUGGAAUUAUGUCAGAAUAUUUCUGCAAGAUCUUUUCUCCUCCUUUUCUCCCUAAAAAGUUGAGUAUGCGAUGGGUCUUUAGUAUGUUUGGAUGGAGAGAUUGGGUGAGAAAUGAGAAGGAAGGAGAGAUGCUACUCUUUUUUUCGGUAUGGAUUAUUGGAUGUAUAUAAGAAAAACGAGAGGAAAUGAGCUUGUGAUAGUUUA